UACGUAGGGUGCGGGCGUUAAUCGGAAUUACUGGGCGUAAAGCGUGCGCAGGCGGCCUCUUAAGUCAGAUGUGAAAUCCCCGGGCUUAACCUGGGAACUGCGUUUGAAACUGGGAGGCUAGAGUGUGGAAGAGGGGGGUGGAAUUCCAGGUGUAGCAGUGAAAUGCGUAGAUAUGUGGAGGAACACCGAUGGCGAAGGCAGCCCCCUGGGAUGUGACUGACGCUCAUGUACGAAAGCGUGGGGAGCAAACAGG
rnacentral:rRNA from 1 species